CGGAACAGCACUUUCAAGUUGGCAUUUUGAAAACAGAAAAGGAAGGGCAGAAAACCUGUCAAAGCAAAACACAGCAUCCAGAACUGAUGAAAUGAUGAAGAUAGAUACACUUCCAUUUUCUUUUCUGAAGCAUGGAGAGUAAAAUAUUACUUCAGUGAACACCCCCAAGAGAAGCGUUUUGUGAGGGCUCCCACUAGGUCACCAAGCUUGUAAGUUUCUGUUUGGAAGCUGCUUAUCUACCAUCUGCAGAGCAGGCUUGGGGGAAAGAGGCCCCAUGCUGUGAAACAAAGCUGCUUAGUGUCUGCAUGGGCACCUACAAGGCAGUUACUGACUGUUCCCUUGAUUAAAAAUACUCAAAGUAUUUUCAUUUAAAGUGAAAAGAGAGAAGCUGAGGAGCAGCAGGUGUAUUUAAGGCUGCAGGACUCUCCAGGCAAUUGCACUCAUUAUCUAGGAACACCUCACUGAUGCCCUGCUUCCUCUCCCAGCACAGUUCUCUGACUGCUUUUUCCCAGGAGCAAUCCAGGAUGUCUUUGCCUGCAGUUGGAUAGCAUCUACCUCACACACAGCAUAAUGUUCAGUUCCCCAAGUGGUUUGGGUUUGGCUGCUCUCUGAAGAUGGCAUCUUACGCUUUUGUCUCCUUGCUAGUAAUUGCAAAAGCAUGGGGGAAGAAAUCUUUAUUCCAAUUGUAAAAUUAAGUUCAAAACGACAGCCGAGUUAGUUAGAACAAAGGCUUCUCUGGUCCAGUUUUUUCCAAGAACAUUGUAAAAGAAUGAGUUUUGGGAUUUUUGUUUGUUUUAUUUUGUUUUUAAUGCCUGUAGUACCAGAGACUAGAUUUGGGACUUGCUUCAGUAACUAAGUUAGCUCUUCACCUGGGUUCAACAUCUUUUCCAAUUAUGCCUCAGCUCAAGCUCUUAGAAAAUGAGACUUCUAAAUCUGCUGGGCUGUUGUAGCAGUUCCAAGAGCUAUCUGCAGCCAAGCACCUUAGAGGCUACCUGUUAGCUUAGAGAUCAUGCAUAUUCCAAUGUUCUCUGGAGUUUGGAAGAUUUCUGUAGUAUCUAGAAGCUUCCAGAGCCAGAGAACUCACUUUGUUCUCAGAGGCAGUAUGUGUCAUUGUCAGACAAAAAGCAAUUGAUUUGUGUGUAGCAAGCCCACUGUGGGUUCAUGUCUCAGGAGCUUUCUAAUUAUAGUAUAUGUUUCCUUCCCAACCACUAUUUUAUCAUGAACUGAGCUCUCCUUUCUUGUCGAUUUUCUCCCAACCUUUGUCUUCCUUUGAACCCUGCCAUCCUUCAUUACUGAGGAAAGGAAGAUUGUAGUGGUGUGUGACUACAGACUCAACUCUGAAGCUCUGAGGCUUUCAUCUAGCGGAACUAUAUUGAGAAGCUGACAUGAUGAGUCCACAAAACAGGGAAAGUUCCCUGGACUGAGAACAUGGGCAUAGUGUGAGCUCAGCCGAGCAGAAUGAAAAUCUUCUUGGACUGUGCAACAUGUUUCACCUCAAUUAAGCUACAGGAACAUAAUUUCUUCUAGAGAUUUGGGCAUUUCCAUUUAGACUGACUUUAGAGCCUCCAGGAUCCACCUGUCUUCAACUUCCUAGGACUGGAAUUGUGAACGUAUCCUAACAUGCCAACUCUUCCCAUGAGUGCUGGGAAUCAAAUUCAAUUCGUCAUGCUCGGAAGACAAACACUUUACUGACUGAAGCAAGAGGCAAACAAAAAUUAAUAAAAAUACAAAACACAAGCGGUUUGGGAUGAACAAGGGGAUCCACGACUGAAGCAGGGGCAUGUGGAGCUGAAGGGUGAAAGUAAGUGCAGCAUCAAGAGCACCCUUUAGCACCAGCUAAGCCUGGAGCUUCUAUUUGAGAACUAGUUUGAUUUGUCCAUGUUCGAUGGCAUGGCACUGUUAUAUUUCCCUAAUAUGUCUCAGUAGCAUUGAUCUUAUUGGCCUGAAUCUUCUCUUCUCCACAUGCUGAGCUAAGAUAUGUACAAACAAAAGGAAGUGGUAAGGUUUUGAGUGAGUUCCUCUGUAUUCCUGGCUUCGUCCUCUUCUUCUUCCUCCUCCCUCUCCUCCUCUCCUCUUUCUUCUCUUUCUUCAAAUUCUUUCUUCUUCCAGGGUUCCUCUAAAGAUAUAUCAAGUACUUCCAAUGUUCUCUAACCUAAAAAACGAUGUCAUUCUUUGUUGUAUAGUAUGCUUUAAAAGAACUACCUAUAAGCAUAUCUCCCACCACCCUGUGUUUUAGUUCUAUAAGAAGAUCCUUCCCAUGGGCAAGCACCAAUCCCUGACAUUAUUGAUGAAACUCUGUUAUGCUUGCAGAGAGGAGCCUCGCAUGGCCUUCCUUUGAGAGGCUCCAUCUAAGAACUGACUCAGAGAGAUGAAAGCAUUGGAUGGAGUUUGGGGACUCUUAAUGGAAGAAUUGGAGGAAGGAUUGAGUAAUGGAAUAGGAACUCCAUAGGAAGAUCAACAGAGUCAACUAACCUGGAAUUGUUGGAGGAUCUCAGAAACUGAACCACCAACCAAACAACAUACAUGGGCCCGACCUAGAUCUGCAGAUGUGCAACUUGGUCUUCAUGUGGGUUCUGAACAAUAGGAGCAAUGGUUCUCCCUAAAGCUGUUGCCAGUCUGUGGAAUUCCAGAGUAUGUUUUAUCUAAGGAUGAAUUUAUUCAUUAAUUGAAAAAAUGCUUCUUCCUAGCCACUGCACUAACAAGGCUUUCUUGCUGCCUGUGGGUUCUCUGCCUUGGAUGGGGAAUUUUCAUCUGCCAUGUAACAUUACAAGCCUCACUGAGCCUCACUGUCACUGCUCUGUUAAACAAAGGCUCUUUGUCUUUGACUCCCCUCACCAUUCAUACCAGUCUCCCCCCUCCCACAGCCUGUCAUCCUUUACUGUUUCCAACAUACACAAUAAACUUUGAUUUAUCUAACACACACACACACACACACACACAUACACACACACACAUACACACACACAAACUUAUUUGUGUGCUGGAAGUGUAUGUCAGUGGUUAAACAUGCACAUGACUAUAAUGUACACAGUACCCUGAGCUCCAUCCCCCAACACCACAGAAAAUUUUGUAUUCUGUUUCAAUUUUAUAGUCAUACAUCAUUCGCAUUUCACCAGAAAAGGAUUCUAAGAAGUUAAUGACUAUAAUGUAUGUACAACUGAAUAAUAGUAACACAAAACACAUUGCCUAUUGUACAUACUCAGUGUUUGCUUAGUGAAUGGAUAGAUUCACUAAUUAAUAUGCAUCUGCAUAUUAAUUGCAUGCCAGGAGAAAGUUAAGAAUUCCAUGUGUUUUGUUUUGUUUUGUAUUUUUAAUUUUGUCAUCAUAACAAUUUUAUGGGCAUGAAUCAUUAGUCUCAUUUUAUAGAUAAGGAAACAACCUAAAAUAUUGUGAUAGUCUAUCCAGAACACCGUUAACAAACAAUAUUGUGAUUUGAUGUUUUAUUAGCCAGUCAUACUAAUGACAUUUAUAAUCCAGUUAUCUAGUAUUUAUUGAAUCAAUGCUAUCAUACAUUGCUCUUUCACACAGCUGGAAGGCGAUGGUUUCUUGUGUUCAUUAGGUGUGCUCUUUAACAUGUCCUAUGAAUAUGACAGUCUGAAUGGCGAUAAUAAGAGUUUGUCUUCUCAGUUCUUUACUUAUCUCCCUCCCUAGCCAACUGAGGAAGUAAACAUACAGAAAAGCUUCUCCUUUUCUGGAAACAGUCUGAACAAAAUAAAAAUCUCCUUAUAUCUCA
rnacentral:sRNA from 1 species